AACACAAGAUGACAAAAGAGGUGACAAAGAGGCCGAGAAGCGGCGGCGCGGACUUCCCCGAGGCACUUCGAAAAGUUACGCAACGACCGACUUUCGCUAGCGCCUCAGGAAGGCUAAACACGACGCCUGAAAAGACUUUAACCUCCGCGCUGUUUGUUUAUUGUGUACACGUUGCGAUUGGCUUGACAGUAAGGAGCCCGUUUGAGGGGAGAGGGCGAGGCGUGCAACGAGGCAGCUGAAGGGCUGAGGACGGCAUUAGCAUGCAAAUGUGUUUCCUUUUUCUUUCCCCCCCUUUCUUCUGCUCUUUCUGGAAAAAGUUUGCAGCACUCACCUCCUCUGCCCUCCUCCACCGUCAGCCUCGAUGAGCCAAUUAUUUUCCUGUUGAUCGUUACAGUAGGUGCUGGGCUUAAUUAUGGAUGCAGGCGGCGGUGGCUGCGGUGCAAACAUGCUGAUGCGCACACAGGGUUGCUGGCCGCAGGAGCUGCGCUGAAUCCCGUUAAGUGGGUUGAGAGAUUGUCCUGGUUUGGCCUGAACUGGGCAUGAAAAGGUGCCAGAGGGCCCACGCUGUGUGUGUGACUGGCCUCGUUCCCCCCGCGCUCUCCCGUCUCCUUAGUGGUCCAGACAGAGCGGGUUAGCUUAAACUUUAAAGUGUAGCUUUAUCGACUAUUAUUAUAAUAAUUAUUAUCUCGCUGUUUGUGUUUACAGUUUGACACAAUUAUUAGUUUAGCGCUAAAUCUUAGUGUAAUUUAACCGAAGUGCUAGCAUAGCUUAGCAACGCCACAUGUUCACAUUUGAGGAAGUAGCUUUUCACUGGCUUUGCUCCUAAGUAGCCAGUUAGCAUUUAGGUGAAUAUUAAAGGUUGUUAUGGAGAUUUGGCCAACCCAACGUGACACACUUUGUUUCAUUUCUCCAAAAGUUUGUUUUACCUCCCCAUCCAUCCUAUUCAUGUUGUGCCAAGACAAACACGGCUCCUCGUUCAGCACUGUGACCAGAACUGGACCUCGGAGUCAAAUGUACAAGAAACAGCAAGACGCUGAUCAUUAAAGCUGGGGUCCCUUCAAUUAACCUCCUCCAGGCUGAAGUGGAGGAGAGAACCGGCUGCGUCACCGGAUGGACUGGUUGAAAUGAAACCAAGCGGGAAGACGAGAAGAAACGGCACGAGUGUCUGACCGGGUGUCCAUGUUCUGUUCACGUCACUGCAGCUUCUGAACGGUACGCAAACCGUCAACAACAACCUCUAAUCCAGUUUCCACCCAGAGCUCAGCGAACAGCGUGGCACCUGCCAAUCAGAGCGCGGCUUCCUCCUCCUCCUCCGCUGCAGUGCAUCAAUCUGCCGGCUGAAAUGAAAACACUGCUCCUCCACAACCUCCGUCUGUCAGCGCCUGUCAGCCAAGGGGACUAAUGGAAUGACGUCAUCGUAAACACACACACACACACACACACACACACAAGGAGACGGAUGCCUUUCCGGUGAUUCACAGCUUGGAGCGUUACCAUCUCUUUCUGCGGGGCCCCAUCUACAUGAAUCCCCGUCGGCUUAACCCGCUGACCUUCACCAAAAACCGCUGCCCUCCUC